rnacentral:rRNA from 1 species
UAGCUUUAAGAUAUUCUCUAAAUAAAUUUAAAGUUUUACCUGCCCUGUGAUUUUUAUUUAACGGCCGCAGUACUUUGACUGUGCUAAGGUAGCAUAAUAAAUUGGCUUUUAAUUGGGGUCGAGUAUGAAAGGGGUUAUGGGGAGUAACUGUCUCUAAAAAACUACGUAAAAUUUACUCAAUAGGUGAAAAUACCUAUAAUAGUUAUUUAAGACGAGAAGACCCUAAGAAUUACAGCUAGUGGAAUUAAUAGUUUCUUCUGCUUUUGUUGGGGCAACAUUGUUAGGAAAUAACCAACAUUUUUAUAAAUUUUAUAUGUCUAAUUUAAACAGAAAAGAAUAAAUUACCUUAGGGAUAACAGCAUAAUUAUUUUUAUAGAUUGUGACCUCGAUGUUGGACUAGGGACUUUAAUUAUUAGCCAUUAUUAAAGAUAGUUCUGUUCGAACUGUAAUACCCU